rnacentral:rRNA from 1 species
GACGAACGCUGGCGGCGUGCCUAAUACAUGCAAGUCGAGCGAACGGACGAGAAGCUUGCUUCUCUGAUGUUAGCGGCGGACGGGUGAGUAACACGUGGAUAACCUACCUAUAAGACUGGGAUAACUUCGGGAAACCGUAGCUAAUACCGGAUAAUAUUUUGAACCGCAUGGUUCAAAAGUGAAGGACGGUCUUGCUGUCACUUAUAGAUGGAUCCGCGCUGCAUUAGCUAGUUGGUAAGGUAACGGCUUACCAAGGCAACGAUGCAUAGCCGACCUGAGAGGGUGAUCGGCCACACUGGAACUGAGACACGGUCCAGACUCCUACGGGAGGCAGCAGUAGGGAAUCUUCCGCAAUGGGCGAAAGCCUGACGGAGCAACGCCGCGUGAGUGAUGAAGGUCUUCGGAUCGUAAAACUCUGUUAUUAGGGAAGAACAUAUGUGUAAGUAACUGUGCACAUCUUGACGGUACCUAAUCAGAAAGCCACGGCUAACUACGUG